CACCCCCAUUUUAAUCGUUCUCUCCUCUCGACCUCCCCCGCCCCUGCUUCCCCGUCGUCAAUCGCUCUCUCCUCAGUUCCUCUACCCCUCUCUAUACAUUAUUUAGCCGAUUUACCUUCUUACCUUAAUUUCGUCCACAAAACGGGUGAAACCCGUUCGUUUGAAUCCAAUUCGUUUCCAAGAAAGGGGAUGGUCUCGUCAAUCCCUCGUCAGUCUCUCUCUCUCUCUCUCUCUCUAGAGAGCAUCGUGGGGAGAGAUUUUCUCCCGAGGGGGUCUGGGAUUGUGAUGAGGAGGUCGUUGGUGCUUCAGCUACACAAGACGGAGGGUCAGGGAGGGGAUUAUGCGGAGUGUCUGCACUCGCCAAGGAGGAAAUUCACUGAUUUUGGGUUUAAAGAUAUAACCUCCGAAUUGUCAAUGGCGGCUGAGGCUGAACUCUCCAAACACAAAGGAGUCUGAGAUGUCUAUAUCUGGUUUAACGUUUAAUUCCCAAAAGAUAUCCUGCUACGCGGCACGAGCAAGAGGUUCUAAUUUCUCUGUUGGGUCUUCGUCCUUGAUUUCUAAUGGGUUCAUUAAACUGAAGUUGAGAUUUUUAUCUCAUACGGAUAGGUACUAUGCAUAAUGGCAUUUGCUUCUCCAAACCCUUUUUAACUUAUUUUUAUUUUGAUGAUUUCAUUCGACAAGCUUCUUACUUGAGUUCCUUGGGGUCACUACAUUACUGUAGGAAAUAUUUGGCCGUGACAGUUCGCAGAGUUUCGGUUGGAAGACCCGUCAGGAUAAAGAGCAGCGUAUAUGCUGCAUUUGGUGACAUGGCUGAUGAUUCAACCCCCAUUCAGGUGUCUUUCCAAGGAUUGACGUAAAGGACCCUUAUAAACGACUUGGAAUCGGUAGAGAGGCAUCUAAAGAAGAAAUUCAAGCUGCAAGGAACUUUCUGGUAAACAAAUAUGGGGGUCACAAGCCAAGUGUUGAUGCAAUAGAGUCAGCUCACGACAAAAUAAUAAUCUUAACUAC